rnacentral:rRNA from 1 species
GACGAACGCUGGCGGCGUGCUUAACACAUGCAAGUCGAACGGUAAGGCCUUGCUUUUGUGGGGUGCUCGAGUGGCGAACGGGUGGGUAACACGUGAGUAACCUGCCUUUGACUUUGGGAUAACUUCAGGAAACUGGGGCUAAUACCGGAUAGGAGCUCCUGCUGCAUGGUGGGGGUUGGAAAGUUUCGGUGGUUGUGGAUGGACUCGCGGCUUAUCAGCUUGUUGGUGGGGUAGUGGCUUACCAAGGCUUUGACGGGUAGCCGGCCUGAGAGGGUGACCGGCCACAUUGGGACUGAGAUACGGCCCAGACUCCUACGGGAGGCAGCAGUGGGGAAUAUUGCACAAUGGGCGGAAGCCUGAUGCAGCAACGCCGCGUGCGGGAUGACGGCCUUCGGGUUGUAAACCGCUUUCGGCUGUGACGAAGCGUGAUUGACGGUAAUUGGUAAGAAAGCACCGGCUAACUACGUG